UUUAUGAUGAUGCCUUUAUUCCCCUUUAGAAUCAUCUACAUAAAUACAGAUGCCUAAAGUGAUUAGUUUUUAUUUUAUUUUUAAGAGGGUCAUUUUUUGGUAAUAUACCUCUGAUGCCUAAAGUCUAAGUCAAUGCCCUAACCCAAAAUUUUUACUCUCCCUCGCUAACUCUCUCUGAAACUUCAGCUCCCUCUCAAACUCUUGCCCCAAUUCUUCUAACUCCCUCUCAAAUUUUUCACUCCCUCUGAAAUUGCACCCUCAAAAUUCAUCUCCUGAACAAAACUCUCCUUCAGUCCCUCUGAAACUCUCUGUUUCUUCUAUCUACUCCAUCACUGCCCCAUUCUUGCUAAAACCCUCAGAUGCUCAACCAUUACGAUUCACAGUGAGAAUCAUUCUUCCAUUCAACGAUUCUCAAGCCAGCUCGCACAAUUUCUCAAGCCCAGAUACUCAGACGGAAGUUUAAGUCGGCGAUUGUGUGAUUUCAUCUAUCAGUUCGAAGCAUUUCCCUUUCCCCCAAAAGUUAGGGUUUUGACCACACCCCACACCUCCUCUUCUGGUAAGCUUUUCUUCUCUCUUUACAAUUAAAAUUUAAGGUUAAACAUAUCUACAUAUAUCUGGUUGACAAGUGGAUGUUAAGAUUUUG
rnacentral:lncRNA from 1 species